rnacentral:rRNA from 1 species
GGAUCAUUACCGAGUGAGGGCCCCUGGCCCGACCUCCAACCCCUUGUUAAUCAAACCACUGNUUGCCUCGGGGGUUACCUCAACCUGAGGGCUCCCGGUGGACAAAUUAUCAAAAACACCGCAUCCGUACGUCAGAAUAUUGAAAGCAAAUUGAAUGAAAACUUUCAACAACGGAUCUCUUGGUUCUGGCAUCGAUGAAGAACGCAGCGAAAUGCGAUAAGUAAUGUGAAUUGCAGAAUUCAAUGAAUCAUCGAGUUUUUGAACGCACAUUGCGCCCUUUGGCAUUCCGAGGGGCAUGCCCGUUCGAGCGUCAUUUCACCACUCCAGCCUGGCUGGGAAUUGGGCCCGGGGGCGACCCGGGCCUCGAACUCGUCGGCAAGAUCAACCAAAUCGUCGCGUCGUGGCAUUCAAUUUCGCGAACGAGAUGGGGGGGCUGCGCCGUUAAAUUUGAUUCAGGUUGACCUCGGAUCGGGUAGGGAUACCCGCUGAACUUAAGCAUAUCAAUAAGCGGAGGAAAAGAAACCAACAGGGAUUGCCCUAGUAACGGCGAGUGAAGCGGCAACAGCUCAAAUUUGAAACCUGGCGCAAGCCCGGAUUGUAAUUUGUAGAGGAUGCUUCGAGGCAGCGGCCGGUCUAAGUUUCUUGGAACAGGACGUCAUAGAGGGUGAGAAUCCCGUAUGCGACCGGCUGGCACCUCACACGUAGCUCCUUCGACGAGUCGAGUUGUUUGGGAAUGCAGCUCUAAAUGGGAGGUAAAUUUCUUCUAAAGCUAAAUACCGGCCAGAGACCGAUAGCGCACAAGUAGAGUGAUCGAAAGAUGAAAAGCACUUUGGAAAGAGAGUUAAAAAGCACGUGAAAUUGUUGAAAGGGAAGCGCUUGCUACCAGACUUGUUAACGGUGUUCCGCCGGUCUUCUGACUGGUUUAUUCGCCAUUGACAGGCCAACAUCGUCUGGGGCCGCCGGAGAAAGGCUCGAGGAAUGUGGCUCUUCGGAGUGUUAUAGCCUCUUGCACAAUACGGUGUGCCCCGGGCGAGGUU